rnacentral:lncRNA from 1 species
ACCACAUCAGAUAUUUCUAAGUAGGAAGAAUUUAAUACAAAAAAUAACUUCUUAUGAAAUCAUUAGAAGUAUGGAAGGAUCAGGCUAUACUCUAGGUAUUUAGAAGUGAUUGCUGAAUAAUUUAUAACUGAUUCACCAGCUACUGCCACUGAGGCACUAUUGAAGCCAUGCCUGAGUCAAGAACCUGCUACCACUCUGCUGCCACUGCUUCUCUGGCUUCUGGGUACCCACGAAACUACAAUUCAGGGAUUAGGAGAUGAGAACAAGCAGCCACUGCUGCUGUUGCUGCCACCACUACCACUUCUUCUUACCAAGGAAGCUGUAGAGUGGACGGUGGGAUAUUGUUGCAGAGAAAUCUGAUUUUCACAACUAUGUUUAUGAGCUGAGACAGUCAAAAAUGGACAGAAAAAUGGCCUCUGCCUCAUUUCAGUCUUUUAAAUCCUAUACUAAUGCUUCAAAUUACACUGAAGUGGAACUUGAAUUACAUUCAGAACCUUAGCUGCAAGAGAGUCUGAGAGAUGAGAGGAUUGGUUUUCAAGCAUCUCCAAAUUAGAAUGAGAGUGGAAUGAAAGCCAAUUGAUUUCAUCCACAUUAUCAAGCAUGCUUUGUUUGGUUACAAGCAACAAAAAUGGACUCUGGCUAACAAAGACAAAAAAGCAAUUUAUCAAGAGAGAGUUGUUACAUAGCCAAGGAAGGAAAAAUUAAGUCUUGGAAAAGGUGGAUACCAGGGAAGCUCUGAGGACCCAGGUAAUGGAACUCUCACCCUUUAGUGCCCUACCAUUCAAUUGCUCAGCUCCAUCUGGUUCCAGGAUUCCAUUCCUGAGCAUCACCCUCAAGGUACACAUUUCCAGGAGAGAGAGUCUCAUUGGCCCAGUUAGGUCUGAAUGGUCUCUUCAGUCAUGGUGGAAGUUGUAGGGGGGCAGAGUCUCUUGAGUGACACUUCUCCCAGAACCUUCUGCUGUAGAGAAGUGGUAGAUGUCUAAAGAAAAGGGUGCUAUACAGACAAAAGGUACCAGUGUUUUGUUCUAGUUGUCUGAUUGUGACAUUAGCUACAAGUCACAUUCCUAUUGGAAUAGAUACUUAUACAACAAAAUUUUUGUAAAACCCUGAAAGUAGAACACAUUUCAUUUGUCAGAAUUGCAGACUUGAAUAUUUUGGUAUAGAUCUUUUGGUUAUACAGGUAAGUUUUGCUCCAUGUUUUAAAUAUCUCAUUUUACAGAUAAAGAAAAUAAGGUACUUCAAGGAAUAUAAUGACACAAAUGGAUAUAGAAUCAGUUAUAGAAGUAAGUCUUUUGUCAGUAUUCCUAUGUGUGCCUUAAUGAUUAAAAAUCUCUUUGUCUUUAACUGGCUUUCUUAUAUAUGCUUAAAUCCAUAUAUAGCACUUAUGCACAGUACAUUUCAGAGAGCAACCUGACUUACACCUACCUGCCUUAUCUGAUGUUUGCAUAUGUAGGGACUCUGAGCUGUCAUGAUGACAGCAUGACUCAAAAUUAAUGACAAAUGGAAAUUCACAGCCCCCUAGAAAAGAAAGUUUCUCCCACACUGCUCAGAAAAAUCUUCACGCCAAUACACAGCAAAGAAAGUUGCCACCAAAGUGUAUUAUGACCCAAAAUAGAAUGUGUUCCCCAAAGUUACCACCAUGUUAUUAGCAAAAAUUCCUCAAAAUAAAAUCUAAUGAAGCUCCCAACACCUUGAAGGUAGGAUAUUACCAAAACAAAUUCAUCUGCUUGGCUGUGAGUCAGGAAAGAUCGAAGAUUAUUUGUUUCCAAGUGUCUCUCUAACACUCACUCCCCCUUCCAUUUCCCCUCCUGUGAUGAUGGAGUAACUGCUACAGUUCUUACUCUCUCCAUGGCCUACUGUUUCCCCAUUCUACUAAUGCCCAGGAUAUGUGACUUCCUUUGAUCAAUGGAUGUUUACAGAUGUCAUGGGCACUUAAGCUUGAAGUGUUGUGUGGAGGAGCUUGCUCUGUCUUGGACUUCUGCCUUUGCCAUGAGAAGAACAUGCCUCAGCUAGCCAGUUAUUCAGAGAAAGAUGAGGAACACAGCCUUCUGGCUGACCCACAGACCUGCAUUUUGAAGCUGAGAAGCCCAGUAGAUCUCAGCCAGCCCAGGGCAACUGAUAUCCUCUUGAUUUGCGUAUGCAUAAACAAGACUAGUAGAGAUCAGCAGAGUUGACCCACAGAUGUGUGAUACAUAUGUAAUUAUUGUUGUAUAUCACUGAGAUUUUGUGAUUAUUUAUUAUUCUAUAUUACCGCAGCAGUGACUAACAGAUUCACCCUAAUUCCCUCUCUUGCCUCUCUCCCUCUCUUUCUUCAUCUGUCUUUUUCUCAGUCUUCCUCAUCCUUGAGAACUGUUCCUUCUCAGCCAUGUUAGUCUCUUAGUUAUAUCAGCUAUCCUCUAGAUAGUAAUAUAAAUCCCAGGUAAUGUAGUUUUGAAGUUUAUUGCAAUAAAGGAAAGAGUCCACGUAAAGGGAUUUGAGUCGUCAAUUCUCACUAGCAAUGACUCUUCUCUAACCGGCAAUUUUAAAAAUGUUUUUAUUAUUCACUUGUGCAUGUCACUAUCACUGUGAUUAAUUUUCAUUAUAAGACCAUGUAAGGCAAAUUGAGGCAUAUAAUAAAAAUGGUAUUGAGGGUAACUCUGACUUGGAAACCAUUCAUUAUUCCAUACUAUGGAUUUUCUAGGAAAUAAUCAAUAGUGAGAGGAAACUCAAAAAAUCCAACCCCCCACAUGCAAUAUAUAACAUCUUUUCUUCUCUUCAUCUCUUUUUUGUUCUUUUUUUUUUUCCCCAGCCUGUCUAUUAUGGAGCAGUUUGCCAGGCACAGAGUUACCAUUCCCUUUUCUCCUUUACCAUGUAAAUGUCAGUUGAAAAUACGCCAAAUUCCAGAUACAAUAUAAUCAUAAUACUACCACUGUGCUUCUGGAUUAAUUAAUCAUAAUGAAUGAAAUUUUUCUUGAUUUUGUAUGCCAAGCCUGGAAGCAUAAUUCAAUUUCAUCUUUGACUUCUGUAGCCUGAAGCAGCCACUUAAACUCAGCUGUCAUAAAGCUUUUGGAGGGAGAUCAAAAAACACUAAAUAACAAUAAAAAAAAGAUCCAACUUGCAAAAAGGCAUAAGAGGAAGUGGAAAAAUAUGCUUUAAAUAUAUCAAAGAAAGGCAUAUAUGUAUGUAUAAAAGAAAAGCAUAAUAAAAUAUUGUUUGUUUCCAAAUUAGGAUAAAACGUGAUGACACUGCCUUAAAAAAUCUUUAUGUUUUUCCUCCUAAACCAUCUGGAAAUAAUGUUAGAUAUAAACAAAACACACACUGGAACACUGAAUGGGAACACUGAAAGCCUCAAUGAACACUUUGACAAAUUUGAAAUCUAUCAGAACUUGUUUUCACCUUCAGAACCAGUUUAUCAUUACGAAACCUCUAAGUUAUUCCUGUAACAUGGGCUUUUAGUUCUGUUUUGUUUUGUUCUGUUUGUUUCUAAUGUAAGUCCCAUGUCCUUGGGGGCUCUCUGAAUGUGAUGUCAAAUUGCUUGUGGUUUAAUUUAUAAUAUAUAAUAUUCAGUAUUUUCUCUUACUGCAAAAAUAAAAAUGACUCUAAAUAAAAUAUAAAAACCCUCUGUAAUCCUAGCACUUAGAGAUAUCCCCAGCUAAUGUUUGGGUGUAAAUAAUCUCCUUCUUUGUUACCCGGGUUAUGUGUAUAGAUGUCUGGAGUGUCUGUAUAACCAAAUCAGAUCAUGUAAUACAUAACACCCUCCUUUUAAUAGCUACCUAUUUCAACAUUGUUUCAUAGAACCCCAAACUACUCAGAAUAAAUAAAUAAUACUGAUGAACCUCUCACAAGAGAGGAGAAUACUGGGAUAAGCUCAGUUUGUGCUUGCAAAGAUUUUGUUUGAGACUACAUUUUGGACCUCCAAUAUUCUUUGAAUGACAACCACAGAAUCUUAAACUUUAAGCUCACUCACCUCAUUCACCAUGAUUAUAAGUCCCUGAAAACUAGAAAUUAGUAAGCCUGAUAUUUCUGAGAAAACAGUUCCAUUUUGAGGAUGCUUUUUCUCCAUCCUUUAAAAAGAGUAUUUCCGCAUUCUUUGCCACUUUGCUGCUGACACAAGUUAGACACAGCUUUCAAUAUUAUUCUGAGCAUCUGCCUGAUCCCAGGCAUCCAUUCCAUGGUGACCUGCCAGAAGCCUAGUGAUUUAAAUGAAAUCUCCAUGCUUCUUAGCAGCAAAAAACUGGAGAGAAGCAGUAAUAAAGCAGCUGACAAUACACGGGAAACAUAUUGAACAGUCAACACCUUCUAUUCACCCAUCGAAUGAUUCCUGGGCAGGAUUAGUAGGGAAGAGACAAGAGGGAGUGUGUGUAAACUUAAAUCUGCAACAAAAGAGAUGAUGCAAAGAAGCAUGAGCAAGAUGGGAUGGGAAUAAUUAUUUGAUCAGAACGAUGAAAAUAUAACAUAAAAGCCACAGGAAUCUAUUAGGGUUGAAGGGAAAGUGAGAAAGAACCAAAUGAGUUUUAUUAUAGGAAUAAGUCUCAAUCCAGAGAUUAGAGGUGCUUUGGUGGUAACUGGGGACCCCCAGUGAAGCAAAGACAUUUAAUCUUUGAUUACCACUUCAAGCACAGUGGAUUAACUGUGAGUUUAAUUUUAAGCUGAAUUUACACCUUCAGGAAAAGUAUUUGAAUUUUCACCCCAUUGAGACUUCUAAUAAUCCUUUUAUAAAAUGGUGUCAACUUGCCCAAAUUCAUUCUCCAGCGAUGUUAGCACACAAAGCUAUAUAUAGUAGACAUUUACUCACAUUUUUUAAUGGAAAACUAAACAUCACACAGGUUAUAGUUACAUAUGUGUUCAAUUUUCCAAGAAAAAAAUUCCUACUGGUUUGUGAAUUGGGAAACAACCAUUGUGAUGACAUUUCCCACCCAUCCAACCCUAAAGUAGCUGCAAACCAAUUCACUGUUCAUUUGAUGUAGCAAUUUUCACAAUACAGAAUCCAGUAGAAAUCUGGAACUGAUUCCCAGUGAUACCCACCUUAUGACUCCAAGAAACUUAAACAAGUCUCAAAGGACACUGUUAAGGAUUAGCAAAGUCUUCAGAGGACUUUGGAUGAGAUUAUUUACUUAUACUGAGGCUUCAGUCUGUUUCCAACAGAAAAUAGCAGCCAACAGUGCUGCUGACUGACUAGCUAAUUAUCCUUAUGCAAGGUCUUUCUGCUAUAGCACUUGUUUGGCAUUUCUAAGAGAUCACACCCAUAAUUUGAUGGAAAACCCAUGACAAUACUUUUCCCCAAGGCAAAUGCUUGGUAGCAACUCUGGCUCUGUAAUCCCAUAAGACUUGGCAACAAAGUCUAUUGACAGAAAUAUACUCUGGUCUCAUCAGCAGUUUCAGGGGCCACUUCUUCUUUCCCAGUAAUCAAUCCACAGAGGCAUCUCUUCUUGGAGUUUCCAGAGAAUUGAACUUUUUACUCUAUUUCGCUUGAAAUGAAAUUUCAUCCAUUUAAGUUUUCAAGGGCAGGUGCCAUAGUAUAGCUUUUCCAGCCAUGAUGGUGGGCGUGGGCUGACUUGCUUACAAUGUACUCAUUGUGAUUACUCAUUGAUGCUAAGACUUAUAAGUGAUGCCUCCCUUCAGCAUCUCUUUCUCUGCCCAUCCUGGGAAAAGCAGUGCUUGUUAGAUGCUAGAUAAGUUGGUCUUUACUGUUUCUGACAUAUCAUUCACUGGGGAACAGUAAUGUGCCUUAUGGAAAUACAGUGAAUUGCCUGUUUCAUGGCACCAAUCUGAAAGCACCUUGAAAUCAAUUCAACAGCCUGACUGCCACAUGGCUCUUGAAACCAC